UUCCGUCGAGUUUCGAAAUCGCUGGGAUUUCGAUGAUAGCCGGUUCUGUACGAUCCCGUUUCUACAAAUGGUGCACAGUGUAAACACGUGGUUUAAAAUUGCGCCCGAUAUAAAAUCUACGCCGAUCUUUUCCCCUCGAUAUACAGCACCGCUGUUAACAAGCACCCAAGCAGUUAAUAUAUUCCGGCAUAUCCUCCGAGGUCGUGUACGCAAAGGGUGAGCGUGAAGUGCACGCGUGUUGGUCGAUUAACGGUUGUACAAAUAAAGCUCGUCGGCGAUUGCGUAACGAUCCUAGAGACGACGCUUAAGGUCAGGUCCCGCUCCCCUGCUUGAAGCCAUAAAUCACUUAGGAAUUAACCCCUCUAAUUGGUCCGCCAGUAUUUAAAUCGAAGGCAUACACACACACACAUAUACACAUGAUCGCAUACAGGAGAGAAUGCGGACGUGCAAACGUGUGCGUACGUCGCGACGAGCGACGUUCCGCGACUCUUUUCGCGCGUGUGAAUCUAGCUGAAACGGGCGAAGCGAAUCGUCGCGAUUUUCGCAGCUUUCUGGGUUCGCGCAGCUAAUUAACGCCUCUAACCACUCGAGAGAAAGAGGAUUGCCACCGCUAAUGGAAACGACGUCUAAAUUAAGGCAAUGCGUUCUCGAGCAUUCUCUAACAUGAUAGAAAUCGCGAGGAACUUAAUGUUCACAGCGAGCAGCGCCGUGCAAGAAUGAAAUUGCACUCGGCAGAAAACACUUUGCGAAUAACAAUAAUCAGACAUUUGGCUUACUCAUCACGAAAAUGUAUGUAAAAGCAAAUUGAAAUAUUUUAGAAAUGCAGAAGUAUGUAAAAGGAUUAAAUGAUAUAUUUUUCAAUAUUAUUAUAACGCAUGAAACACAGGUUGUUGUAUUGCGUCUUCAAAUUCUUGUUCAGUAAUAUAUUUUGCACGAGGCCGAUCAAUGAUUCAAUGACGAUUUAUUCGAAUUUAAGUGGGUCCUCGUUUGACGGUUAAUAAUGACAUCCGUGAGGGGAUCUUCAAUCGGUUUUAGGCUAUAGAUGUGAUACGAUUGGCUCUGCGUAUCAGCUUCACGAAGUUUCCUUCAAUUCGAAGAAACGAUUAAGCUUGCACUCAAAAAUAUUUAUCUCUAACUUGAUACCAUAAUAACAUUAAAAUUUUGUUAAAUUUUAACAAUAUUUUAAUAAUAUUUACUUGUAUAGUGUGAAUUUAAUAACAGUUUGUUAAUUCACUAAACACUUUUACAUAUAAUUCGCGAUAUUACAUAAUUCCGUACUAAUACCAAUUUAAAUUUUCAUUAAAAAAUUAUAUUUCACAGAUGUACUGAAGAAUACACACCCACAUAUUACAAAAUGUACCGCAUAAUAUAAAAUCUAAUCUAUUUAAGGGGGGAUUCUCAUGUAACGAGUCAAAAAAUUUUUUUGCUUAAAUCAACUCUAAUACAUGUGGAAAAUAUGUUCCUAAAGUUACAAAUCGAUAUUCGACCUCUACGUAUAGUUAUAGUCGAGUUUUCGACCGCGCGUUGAGUAGGUAGCUGGGAGCGCUCGGAGCGGAGACACGCGUCUCGUCUGUCCUCACUCAUACACUCGUACAUAACAAACAGCUUCGCAGGUAUACGUCUAAUGAUUUUCUUUUGUUGUGAUAUACCUUCGCGUACUUGUAUAGCUGAGGCAGGAAAUUUUUACGAGAGCUUCAAUUCGUGUGUUUGGCGUUUGGCUCCGAAAUAUUUAUAUUGUGGCAUCCGAACAGUGGAAAUAGCCGCAUAUAUUACUGCAGAAUUAUUCAACGAAGGCUAUUUCGCCGUUUUAAAAAUUAUGGACACAUUAGAACUAAAGAUCGGUACCCAUUGUAAGGAGUAUGCAGACUCGUAUGACGCCGCGCGAAUACGGCAACAGGAGUGACGAAGCCUCAGUAGCUCGAAAGAAGCUCGAACUGCUCGCAAAGAACUGAAUUUACAAUAGCAGCAAUUAUACGAGGAUGCAGAAGGCCUACUAUAUGGCCCUGGAAUCGCCGAUUAGGACUACCAUUACAGCGGAUGCUAGACUGCACACCGUUUGACGCCUGCGACGCCGAAGCCGCUGAAGGCGGCGUCCAUACCUAUAUCUAUAUAUAUGUUUUUUUUAACCAAAAAAAUAUUUUUAUAUUCUCUUUACAUGUAUUGAUGUACUAUUAAAGUUUGAGAUCCUUUGACUAAAUACGUUCUUGAA
rnacentral:lncRNA from 1 species